rnacentral:rRNA from 1 species
UGAGUAACACGUGAGUGACCUGCCUUUUAGACUGGAACAAACUUACCGAAAGGUGAGCUAAUGCCGGAUGAGUUAUAUAAGUGCAUGUUUAUAUAGGAAAAGUUGGGGAGACCUGACGCUGAAAGAUGGACUCGCGUCCCAUUAGCUAGUUGGUAGGGUAAUGGCCUACCAAGGCGACGAUGGGUAGCCGGCCUGAGAGGGUGGCCGGCCACACUGGGACUGAGACACGGCCCUGACUCCUACGGGAGGCAGCAG